rnacentral:lncRNA from 11 species
CACAUGUGGGUCAGGGUUUGUGUUGAGUAAGUUUUUACCAUAUUAGUUAAUCACUGGGUUAUGCAAGGAAUUUCUGCUUCCUAACCAAAACAAUUCAGGGAUUCACUUAAGCCGCACCAUAAACUUGUUAUGACGUCCCUCGGAGCGGAGAAGGAUACACACAGUCUUUGUCUGUUAAUUACUCCUGUCUCUCAUUUGGGAUUUUUUGUAAUGUUAUUGGCAAUGUGGCUGAAGCUGUGGAACAAAAGCAAAUACUGUCUUUUUUUAAUGCAGACAAAGCUUCCAAUUUGGAUAGCACAUCUUGAAAUGAUGUGUCGGGAGCAACUAUGGUUCAGAGAAGGAGACAUUUUCACAGAAGAUGAACAGCAAGUAAUACAGAAUGAAGGAGAGAUUUUCAUGAGAAAAUAUAAAGAUGAAGAUAAAUAAGAGUGGGCACCUGAGACUAAGGAUGAAGAAAGCAACCAGGACAACAAGAAAUAUCGACUAAGAUUUGAACCAACCCAUGAGGAAGAGGACGGAAGACCCAAGAAUCUUUUUAGCCCCUUUACACUUAUCCCUUUCCCCUACUCCCCCUUCCCCCACUCUAACUCUCCCAACCUUCCCUCACUCAGUUCCCCACCCCCUCUUACCCUUUUUACUUUUCACUAACUCUCACAUUCAUCUGUUUUUCUUUCUUCCUCCCCUCCCCUCUUUCUUUCUUCCCUUUUCCCUUUCUCCCCUUCUGCCUUCUUCUUAACCAAUAUCGGAGCAGGAACACACUGGGGUUGAAUUCUCGCUCUCAGUUUCAUGGAUCUCUCUUCCUGUUCUUGAUUGAGAUUUCAGUAUUUUCCUCUCAAUGCGUAGGAUAUCCUUCACGCAUUUCUCAAUCUCAAGGGUGUUUUUCACCAACUGUUCCAGCAUUUUUAUGUGAUCCCGGAUCCAUUCAUUUUUCACUUCUAAAGCGGCUGGUGUCUCGGUCAUGGCCUGACUGGGCUGGGAAAAAUGACAAAACAAGAUCAUUGUAUUAACUUAAGGAAAAAAGAAAUAGAGGUUGAUCAAAAUGGCCAUUUUGUUUUACUCUCCCUAUCUUUGUGUCUCUUAACAGAAGCGUGGUGUGUAGAUAGCAUAGAAAGCACAGACUAAAGUGACAUUUUCUCAAAGUGUCAGUCUGCUGUUAAAUACAGGGUGCUGUAACUUUUUUGUAAGGUUCUUCUUGCAGGUGUAGAGAACAAUGCAAAUACGUUUUCAUUAGAAAUAUGCAAAUCAAAUAAAAUAUGUGAGGCACUCAGAUGAGUGGACCAUACCGUUCAUUCUAUAAUGCAUACAUAUAAAUCUUACCUCAACGUUUUUCAUGUGUUCCCAUGAAAUGUAGAGGAUAGAUAUACCGAUAACUGUGACCAGUAGCACCGCACCACGAACAAACCACUUCUCUAAGGUCCUUAGUGAAAUGUCCAAGCCAAAAAUAAUACAGACAUCAGAUGGCUCUCUCUUCCACAGUUGUUCUCAUUCCUGGGAUGUCAAAUCCAAGCCAGUUGAGGCCCAGGCUGGUUUUUCAUAACUGAGAACGUUCUUCAGGAUAGCAUAUAUAUAUACCAAUCAUGGUGAUGAGUAGCAACACACCACAAAUAAACAUCUCUGUGGUCCUUUCUGGAAUGUCUAAGCCAAAAAUACUAGUACAGACAUUGGAAGGAUCCCUCUUCCAUUGCUGCUGUCGUUCCUGUGGUGGCAAAUCUAAAUGUGUUGCGGCCCAGGCUGAUGUGUCAUAACAAAGAACAUUCUCCAGGAAGACGGCAGACCCCAGAAGAAGCACAAAAGUGCAGCCUCCUAGAAACAUCCUGACUGUGAGGUUGUCAACCAGAAAUACUUCCGUUACAGAAGCUUCAAUAUGAGAACAUCAGGCAUGGAGAAAUUCUAUGAGGUCAUAAAGGUCUCCUGAUCUUUAUAAGAAGUGGUCUAUGAUGUCACGAAU